AGUGAACGCUGGCGGUAGGCCUAACACAUGCAAGUCGAACGGCAGCACAGUAAGAGCUUGCUCUUACGGGUGGCGAGUGGCGGACGGGUGAGGAAUACAUCGGAAUCUACUUUUUCGUGGGGGAUAACGUAGGGAAACUUACGCUAAUACCGCAUACGACCUACGGGUGAAAGCAGGGGAUCUUCGCACCUUGCGCGAUUGAAUGAGCCGAUGUCGGAUUAGCUAGUUGGCGGGGUAAAGGCCCACCAAGGCGACGAUCCGUAGCUGGCCUGAGAGGAUGAUCAGCCACACUGGAACUGAGACACGGUCCAGACUCCUACGGGAGGCAGCAGUGGGGAAUAUUGGACAAUGGGCGCAAGCCUGAUCCAGCCAUACCGCGUGGGUGAAGAAGGCCUUCGGGUUGUAAAGCCCUUUUGUUGGGAAAGAAAAGCAGCAGGUUAAUACCCCGCUGUUCUGACGGUACCCAAAGAAUAAGCACCGGCUAACUUCGUG
rnacentral:rRNA from 1 species